rnacentral:misc_RNA from 1 species
AAAAAACCCCUCCUACUCCACUCCUCACUCUGCAAGGAACAAUGGCGGACCGUGAUCGAACUCGAGACAGAGACCGAGACCGAGACCGAGACCGCGAACGUGAACGGGAUCGUGAGCGUGACCGAGAAAGGGACAAGGAUAGAGACAGAGAUCGGAAACGAGACCGGGAAGACCGUGAUCGGAGAGACCGUGAACAUUCUUAUACCCCUGAUCAUACCAGAACUACUCGGCAUACUCGCUCCCGUACUCGUUCCCCUUCCACCGACCGUCACCGCCACCGCCACCGUUCUACCUCGCGUUCCCGUUCUCCUACUGACCGUCGCCACCGUCACCACCGCCGCAGGAGUCCCUCAGCUGAAAGUCCUCCAAGAAAAAGGCAUAAAGAUGAUGGUGAACGGGAUAAGGAAAGGGAUAGGGACAGGGACAGACGCAGAGAAGUUUCGGAUUUUGUGGAUGGGAUAGCCAAAGAACAACAGAAACAGAAGAAAAAGAACAAGGACAAGGAGAAUGUGAGUGGGAGUGGGGGUGUUGGUGAAGGAGGAGAAGAGAUGAUGGAUGAAGAUGAGAUUGAGAUGAUGAAGAAAUUUGGGAUACCAGUAGGGUUUGAUUCUACAAAAGGAAAACCAGUGGCAGGAAAUGAUGUAGGUGCUGUAAGAAAAGUCACCAAACGCCAGCCUCGACAGUACAUGAAUAGGCGUGGUGGGUUCAAUAGGCCCUUGCCUGCUGAGUGCAACCGCUGAGCUUUCCAGGUGGAAAUGCAGUUUCUGCCAGGCUUCUUAUAUGAGUCUGUCCCUUUGUCCAAGUAAUGGAGACAAUGUAAGAUAUUUUUAAUUGUCUGUCUAGGUUGUAAUGUGCUAUAUUCUCAGAACUCCAUGAUAAUAGUACUCCAAUAGUUUCACAGUUUGCUGCAGACUGCAGACGCAGUAACAGAUGCACCAUUAAUUCAGGGUCCUGCCAAAUGGUUAGCUGGUUAAUCAAGUGCCCCUCCCUCCCUUUAAAGCAGCCAUUCUUGAACACCAUAUGUUAUCUCAUUGAGGUUACUGAUGUGAACAUGCAUUUGGUUCUCAGAUCUCUCCUCAAAAAGGCAUGUCUUCAUAAAUCAGCUUACAUUUGGAUUUGGCUAUACUGUUGCUCGCUAUGCGCACUCAAGUCUUGUAUUGAUCACUUUCUGAUACCUUUUAUGAUAUUUGUCCCCUUGGUUUAAAUGGUGUGGAAUCUGUCAAUUUGAUUCUUUAUGUUACAGAGUCGUACCCAGUUUGGGG